rnacentral:tRNA from 1 species
GAGAUGCUAGUAAAAUUGAAAUUAUAAUGCCUUGUCAAGGCAUAGUUGCAGGUUAAACCCCGGCGCACCUUA